rnacentral:rRNA from 1 species
UACAGAGGUCUCAAGCGUUGUUCGGAUUCAUUGGGCGUAAAGCGCACGUAGGCGGCUUUCUAAGUCAGGGGUGAAAUCCUGGAGCUCAACUCCAGAACUGCCUUUGAUACUGGAGAGCUCGAGUCCGGAAGAGGUGAGUGGAACUCCGAGUGUAGAGGUGAAAUUCGUAGAUAUUCGGAAGAACACCAGUGGCGAAGGCGGCUCACUGGUCCGGUACUGACGCUGAUGUGCGAAAGCGUGGGGAGCAAACAGG